rnacentral:lncRNA from 10 species
CUAAAUGAAGUUAUUUCAGAAGGCAUUUAAGAAAAUAUUUUUUUCUUACCUGAAAUAUAUAUAAGUAGUUAAUUAAUGGAAGAGCCCUAACAAUUAGCUGAAUUCACAAUAUUAGGGAAUGAUUAAAUUGUUGGUGAUGUACCUUUCAAUCAUCUCUGCAUAAGCAGUUGAUAGCCACUUCUGUAUCUUUGUAGUAAAUGCAGAGUGAAUGGUGGAUUUUAUGAAUGGGGAAGCUGCUGGAUUUUGUGUAACAUUGCUUUUUUUUUUUUUUUUUUGAGAUGGAGUCUUACUCUGUUGCCCAGCCUGGAGUGCAGUGGCGUGAUCUCGGCUCACUGCAGCCUCCGCCUCCUGGGUUCAAGCGAUUCUCCUGCCUCAGCCUCCCAAGUAGCUGGGAUUACAGGCUCUCUGGAAACCAGUGUGUGUGCCGUAGGGUAUGUUGCUUGUAGAGAAAAGUGAGCACUGAGGACUGAAAUGGCUGGGCAAAGACAAGGCACAAGUUCAUCUUUGUGAAGCAGCGUUUUUCAGUGUUCAGAUUUUUGGAAGUACCAGCACAGUGACGCUUCCUGAAACCUUGUUGUUUGUGUCAACGCUGGAUGGAAGUUUGCAUGCUGUCAGCAAGAGGACAGGCUCAAUCAAAUGGACUUUAAAAGAAGGUAAUUUGGAUUUGGUCCUUGGGCGACAUGGACAUUUGCUUAACUGGUUCCACAGAAACAUAUUCUGGAGAAAGAGAAAACAUUACUCAUUAUCUAAUAAAAUAAAUAAGAAAUAAAGAAGAAUGGGAUCAAGAGAGGAAAAGGCAUUCUGCUCAAAGGACGUUUAUAGCUUUGCUGUGGUUAUCCACUAAGUGCAUCAGUUAAAGAAGCACGUUUUAUCUUCUUUUUUGCUUCUGUUUAGACUUCAUGUUAAAAUGGCUCUAGGCUUUUCUAUUAAUAGCUCUAGCUAGUUGGUCUUUAUGAAGACAUGCUGCACUAAAUUUGUUCUCAUGAUUAGAAUCUUGUAAUCAUAAUUACAAGAAGGUAUCUUCUCAACACCUCAAAUUACUCAUUUGUUUUUAUAGAGGCUGAAAUAAUAGAGGGCUGUAAGAUUUGACAUUCAUCCAAGUUAACCACUUUAUUGGGUUGUUAUGGUGAGGGGAAUAAAGACUGAGCUUCUUUCUUACUUAACAUACCAUGCGUCCAUGUUAUGAUCUGAUCUUCCUGGUGGUAACUAGCAGAGUCAAGCCCUACAGCUGGGAAAUUGUAUUUGAUUUCCAAAGUAAUCUUUCCAGAUAAAGCCAUGCAAAUCCCAGGAUUUGGGACUUUCAGAGUCAUCUAUAUUAUUUAAUCUGUCUAGUAAUAAAUCUCAUUUGGCCCGAGGUUCGGGUCUGAACAGCAUCGUUCUCUUUCGUCACUACUCUGUGACUCAUUACUUUCACGAGCACAGCCAAUGUUUUUCCUUCCUUAAUAAAGUGUUCCAAAACAGUAUGCUAGAUGGAAAAAUAUUGGCAUAUGUCAGAAGGUCACACAUUGUCUUGUGAAUUCAGCAGCAAACCUCGUUACCAUCCAUAGAUGAUGGCAGCUGGGUUACCACAAGCCAUCCUGCCCCACCUGCAUGGGCCCUGCUUGGAUCAGCAGGAACUUUAAGCAGCCCAAAGACCAGCUCUCUCAGGAGUGUGUGGCCACAGGAAGACUGUAGAGUGUUUUAUUACAGGUUCCAAGAACAUCAUCUGUACUGUAUCUCCAUCACAUUUAAGCCUUUUAAUGUUUUUAAAAUGAAACAGAGUCCUUCAAACUUCAGGAUUUCCUAUUUUGUCCA